rnacentral:rRNA from 1 species
GACGAACGCUGGCGGCGUGCCUAAUACAUGCAAGUCGAGCGGAGCUGAUGAGAAGCUUGCUUCUCUGAUGCUUAGCGGCGGACGGGUGAGUAACACGUAGGCAACCUGCCUGCAAGCCUGGGAUAACUGCGGGAAACCGCAGCUAAUACCGGAUACGCAGUCGAGACACAUGUUUUGACUGGGAAAGGCGGAGCAAUCUGUCGCUUGUAGAUGGGCCUGCGGCGCAUUAGCUAGUUGGUGAGGUAACGGCUCACCAUGGCGACGAUGCGUAGCCGACCUGAGAGGGUGGUCGGCCACACUGAGACUGAGACACGGCCCAGACUCCUACGGGAGGCAGCAGUAGGGAAUCUUCCGCAAUGGACGCAAGUCUGACGGAGCAACGCCGCGUGAGUGAGGAAGGCCUUCGGGUCGUAAAGCUCUGUUGCCAGGGAAGAAUGUCGAGGAGAGUAACUGCUCUUCGAAUGACGGUACCUGAGAAGAAAGCCCCGGCUAGCUACGUGCCAGCCGCCGCAGUAACAC